UUCCUUACGGAGGCAGCAGUAGGGAAUCUUCCGCAAUGGACGAAAGUCUGUCGGAGCAACGCCGCGUGAGUGAUGAAGGUUUUCGGAUCGUAAAACUCUGUUGUUAGGGAAGAACAAGUACCGUUCGAAUAGGGCGGUACCUUGACGGUACCUAACCAGAAAGCCACGGCUAACUACGUGCCAGCAGCCGCGGUAAUACGUAGGUGGCAAGCGUUGUCCGGAAUUAUUGGGCGUAAAGCGCGCGCAGGCGGUUUCUUAAGUCUGAUGUGAAAGCCCCCGGCUCAACCGGGGAGGGUCAUUGGAAACUGGGGAACUUGAGUGCAGAAGAGGAGAGUGGAAUUCCACGUGUAGCGGUGAAAUGCGUAGAGAUGUGGAGGAACACCAGUGGCGAAGGCGCCUCUCUGGUCUGUAACUGACGCUGAGGCGCGAAAGCGUGGGGAGCGAACAGGAUUAGAUACCCCGGUAGUCCUCGCCGUAAACGAUGAGUGCUAAGUGUUAGAGGGUUUCCGCCCUUUAGUGCUGCAGCUAACGCUUAAGCAUUCCGCCUGGGG
rnacentral:rRNA from 1 species